rnacentral:rRNA from 1 species
AGUGCAUGUGGUGGAUGCCUUGGCAGUCAGAGGCGAUGAAAGACGUGAUAGCCUGCGAAAAGCUCCGGGGAGGCGGCAAAUAUCCUUUGAUCCGGAGAUGUCUGAAUGGGGGAACCCACCUACUUUAAGGUAGGUAUUGCAACAUGAAUACAUAGUGUUGCAAGGCGAACGAGGGGAAGUGAAACAUCUCAGUACCCUUAGGAAAAGAAAUCAAUUGAGAUUCCCUCAGUAGCGGCGAGCGAACGGGGAUCAGCCCAUUAAGUUAUGUGUGUUUUAGUGGAACGCUCUGGGAAGUGCGAACGUAGAGGGUGAUAUUCCCGUACACGAAAGGGCACACAUAAUGAUGACGAGUAGGGCGAGGCACGUGAAACCUUGUCUGAAUAUGGGGGGACCAUCCUCCAAGGCUAAAUACUCCUGACUGACCGAUAGUGAACCAGUACCGUGAGGGAAAGGCGAAAAGAACCCCUGUGAGGGGAGUGAAAUAGAUCCUGAAACCGCAUGCAUACAAGCAGUGGGAGCACCUUCGUGGUGUGACUGCGUACCUUUUGUAUAAUGGGUCAGCGACUUAUAUUCAGUAGCGAGGUUAACCGUAUAGGGGAGCCGUAGAGAAAUCGAGUCUUAAUAGGGCGUUUAGUUGCUGGGUAUAGACCCGAAACCAGGCGAUCUAUCCAUGAGCAGGUUGAAGGUUGGGUAACACUAACUGGAGGACCGAACCCACUGUCGUUGAAAAGCCAGGGGAUGACUUGUGGAUAGGGGUGAAAGGCUAAUCAAGCCUGGUGAUAGCUGGUUCUCCCCGAAAGCUAUUUAGGUAGCGCCUCGGACGAAUACCAUAGGGGGUAGAGCACUGUUUCGGCUAGGGGGUCAUCCCGACUUACCAAACCGAUGCAAACUCCGAAUACCUAUGAGUACUAUCCGGGAGACAGACUGCGGGUGCUAACGUCCGUAGUCAAGAGGAAAACAAUCCAGACCGCCAGCUAAGGCCCCAAAAUCAUAGUUAAGUGGGAAACGAUGUGGGAAGGCAUAGACAGCUAGGAGGUUGGCUUAGAAGCAGCCACCCUUUAAAGAAAGCGUAAUAGCUCACUAGUCGAGUCGGCCUGCGCGGAAGAUGUAACGGGGCUAAAACUAUGUGCCGAAGCUGCGGAUGUAUACUUUGUAUACGUGGUAGGGGAGCGUUCUGUAAGCCGAUGAAGGUGUGUUGAGAAGCAUGCUGGAGGUAUCAGAAGUGCGAAUGCUGACGUGAGUAACGACAAAACGGGUGAAAAACCCGUUCGCCGAAAGACCAAGGGUUCCAGUCCAACGUUAAUCGGGGCUGGGUGAGUCGACCCCUAAGGCGAGGCCGAAAGGCGUAGUCGAUGGGAAAAUGGUUAAUAUUCCAUUACUUCUGUGUAAUGCGAUGAGAGGACGGAGAAGGCUAAAUCAGCCUGGCGUUGGUUGUCCAGGUGAAAGGAUGUAGGCAUGUAUCUUAGGCAAAUCCGGGGUACUCUAUGCUGAGAUCUGAUAGCAAGCUGUACUUGUACAGCGAAGUGGUUGAUGCCAUGCUUCCAGGAAAAGUCUCUAAGCUUCAGUUACACAGGAAUCGUACCCGAAACCGACACAGGUGGUCAGGUCGAGUAGACCAAGGCGCUUGAGAGAACUCUGCUGAAGGAACUAGGCAAAAUGGUACCGUAACUUCGGGAGAAGGUACGCUGUUGUUGGUGAUGGAACUCGCUUCCUGAGCUGACGACAGCCGCAGAAACCAGGCCGCUGCAACUGUUUAUUAAAAACAUAGCACUCUGCAAACACGAAAGUGGACGUAUAGGGUGUGAUGCCUGCCCGGUGCUGGAAGGUUAAUUGAUGGGGUUAGCGUAAGCGAAGCUCUUGAUCGAAGCCCCAGUAAACGGCGGCCGUAACUAUAACGGUCCUAAGGUAGCGAAAUUCCUUGUCGGGUAAGUUCCGACCUGCACGAAUGGCAUAAUGAUGGCGGCGCUGUCUCCAGCAGAGGCUCAGUGAAAUCGAAAUCGCUGUGAAGAUGCAGUGUACCCGCGGCUAGACGGAAAGACCCCGUGAACCUUUACUGCAGCUUGACACUGAACUUUGACCUUACUUGUGUAGGAUAGGUGGGAGGCUUUGAAGCUGGAACGCUAGUUCCAGUGGAGCCGUCCUUGAAAUACCACCCUGGUAAUGUUGAGGUUCUAACUCUGUCCCGUGAUCCGGGACGAGGACCGUGUCUGGUGGGUAGUUUGACUGGGGCGGUCUCCUCCUAAAGAGUAACGGAGGAGUACGAAGGUGCGCUCAGCGUGGUCGGAAAUCACGCGUAGAGUAUAAAGGCAAAAGCGCGCUUAACUGCGAGACCCACAAGUCGAGCAGGUACGAAAGUAGGUCUUAGUGAUCCGGUGGUUCUGUAUGGAAGGGCCAUCGCUCAACGGAUAAAAGGUACUCCGGGGAUAACAGGCUGAUACCGCCCAAGAGUUCAUAUCGACGGCGGUGUUUGGCACCUCGAUGUCGGCUCAUCUCAUCCUGGGGCUGAAGCAGGUCCCAAGGGUAUGGCUGUUCGCCAUUUAAAGAGGUACGCGAGCUGGGUUUAGAACGUCGUGAGACAGUUCGGUCCCUAUCUACCGUGGGCGCUGGAAAUUUGAGAGGAUCUGCUCCUAGUACGAGAGGACCAGAGUGGACGAACCUCUGGUGUACCGGUUGUGACGCCAGUCGCAUCGCCGGGUAGCUAUGUUCGGAAGGGAUAACCGCUGAAAGCAUCUAAGCGGGAAGCCUACCUCAAGAUAAGAUUUCCCUAGGACUUUAUGUCCUCUAAAGAGCCGUUCGAGACUAGGACGUUGAUAGGUUGGAUGUGGAAGCAUAGUGAUAUGUGAAGCUGACCAAUACUAAUUGCUCGUGAGGCUUGACU